UACGAAGGGGGCUAGCGUUGUUCGGAAUUACUGGGCGUAAAGCGCACGUAGGCGGUUCGUUAAGUCGGAUGUGAAAGCCCUCGGCUCAACUGAGGAAGUGCACCCGAAACUGGCGAGCUUGAGUACGAAAGAGGAUCGCGGAAUUCCCGGUGUAGAGGUGAAAUUCGUAGAUAUCGGGAGGAACACCGGUGGCGAAGGCGGCGAUCUGGGUCGAUACUGACGCUGAGGUGCGAAAGCGUGGGGAGCAAACAGG
rnacentral:rRNA from 1 species